UACGUAGGGGGCAAGCGUUGUCCGGAUUUAUUGGGCGUAAAGAGCGUGUAGGCGGCUUUACAGGUCCGUUGUGAAAACUCGAGGCUCAACCUCGAGACGCCGGUGGAAACCGUAAAGCUAGAGUCCGGAAGAGGAGAGUGGAAUUCCUGGUGUAGCGGUGAAAUGCGCAGAUAUCAGGAGGAACACCAAUAGCGAAGGCAGCUCGCUGGGACGUUACUGACACUAAGGCGCGAAAGCGUGGGGAGCGAACAGG
rnacentral:rRNA from 1 species